GCAACAAAAAGUAUAGCUUUCUCAAUAAACACAAAGUAAAAAUAAGGACAUGGAAAGUAACCUAAAUAUGAUCCGGUGAUCCACAAACUAAAUUUUGGAAGUAUUUGUAAAUACACUAUGGCAAUGAGUUCUAGCUCAAAUGACAAUUCCUUCUCUCAUGAGAAUGGAUAGAGACUACUAGGAGUAAUUAUUUAGUGUCCCGGGAACACGAUAAUUGCAUGCUCCGACAUUGUUUAGAUUAUAACCUAAAUAUGAUCUUCUUGGACUCUCUCCCUUGACAGCCUCUCUCAAUUUCACAAUCACCCCUCAUCGGAGCAACACUCCACCAACAUUACUCUCACCUUUAUUAAUUAUGUACUAAUUACAAGCUUAGAUUACAACUGAAAGAGAUUAAGAAAACUCGUAAUAAAGCUACGUACAUAAAACUUAGGAGAUCACAUUCAGGCUUUGAUCGAACUAAGUUCCAGAUCCACAUAAGGCUCAUCUUCCUUUUGCAAACUGCCCCUAUAACUAUAAUUUUUAGCACAAUAUACAAAAUAUAUCAAAUUUAGGACUUCCAUCCCUGCAAUAACGAAGUAGUAAUAAUCCAAUCUUCCAACGUUAGUAUCAUUGGUCAACCAAUCAGGCCUGCUUUUUGUUCUAGUGGCAUGAUGAACAAUGGUGACCAAAACACUACUCAGGUAGCUAGCUCCAGCAAAGGAACAAGAAAAAAGUGAAUUCCCAAUGCUUCUCAUGUGCUCAGGAAACUGCCUGUUAAAGAAUUCAAUCUGUCCAAUGAUAUUGAAAGCCUUGCAAAACCCCAUCAAAAUAAAGCUGUGGUGCUAGCCAUAUGACUGACAUUGGUGCAACAUAGCUGAGGCCCUUCUCACCCUUUCAAUCAAUCCAGCUACAACCAUUGAUAGAAUUGAAAACACAAUCC